CUGCACCUUUAAGUCUGCAGCCGGUUGAGAAAAACAAGCUGUGAUUUAUAUAAGCGGGAAAAUCAUGUGAUUUGCAGGAACGCUCCCUCCUCCCUGGCCCCCUCCCCGCGUCGCCUCCAGCCCAUCCCAGAGGGGCCCGGCCGGCGGGGAGGGGCGGGGGCGCCCGGAGCCUCCAUUCACAAAGCGGGGCCGGCGAGCCGAGCGCGGCGGGGGCUGCGCCUAGUUCUUGCGGCCCCAGGCGCCAGGAAGGGCGGCCGAAGGCCUCGGAGCGCAGCAGAGUGUGCCUCCCCAACAGACUCGGGUGGGCUACAUUUAGGAGGGUGGGGGGUGCCCUCCCCGCGGUCCGCUGCCCCCGGAGUGGGUCGCACAAAACCCAGGGUCGCCGCUGCCAGCGCGGGCUGCCGAGCAUCCCCGCCCCCUGAUCGGGUCGGCCUGCCCCCUUCGGGGGAAAGUGUGCAAUGGAGAAACUGAGGCUUUCCCCCAACUUCUCAGGGAGAAAGAAAAGCCAGGGGCCCCCAUAGACUGGCUUCUGUGUCCCAGAACACCCAGCAGGGGGAGAGCAAUUUAAGAAAUAAUUUGGUAGGAAAAGGGCAUGCUGAAAAUCAGCCAUUUCUAGAGCUGAGAAGCGGCUUUUAGCCCAGAGGACCUAGCUUUGAGGAAAAAAACGAUGUGGCAUUUUCAGACAGAGCCAAAGAAAAUAAAUACAUGGUCCGGAGGCCCUAAGAACCAGCACGGAGCUUUUAGAGGGAGGGUGGCAGCUAGAGGAGCCGACGCCCCCGCAGAGGUAACUCUGACAGCUUCUGAGGGCAGGAUAUGCUCAGGUCCUCCCAGAUGCAGAAACUGUAGAGCCAGCAAGACCCGAGGAGGUCAUCUCAGCCACCACCACCCCCACCGCUCUGGAGGAAUACACCAAGCCCUUCCAGGAAGUGCUUCCAGCGGGAGAGGAUUAGCAAUCACUUCCAAAACCAAGCCCAGGAGAAGUUGGGGCCUUUCUCAGGGAGAAGAGCUGGGAGGAGUGGACAGGAGACCUUCCUCUCCUCCACCAGCAUCCCGGCCCACGUCCAGCAUGUGCUGCCCCCACCUGCUGCUGCAUCGGCCUCACGUGUCUGCCAGGACCUCCCCUCUCAGAAGGCGAACAAUCUGUCCUGCCUUCAGCAUACCCAGAGGCUUCCAGUGUUCACCAGCACGCCUUCUCCAUCAGUUUCAUCACAGCAUAAUCCUCCAAACAGAGGGAUGCCCCCACCCCUGGAAUGAUAAGGCACAGAAUUUUGUUUCUAUGUAACACUCUCUUCCUAUCAUCCCCUUACACCCCACCCCGCUACAUCUGGUACCCUGACAGUCAAGAAAUCCACCCCAAAUUGCUCCUGUUAUUUAUUUAUUUUACUCCUCUAUGAGCAUGGAGAAAUGCUAAUCAGCAUCCCUGUUGUAGUUGAAAAUGAUGAUCUGAUUAAACAUGUCAGCAUAAGACAGACAAAAGGACAAAUUCUGUAUGAUUCCACUUAACAGAAGCACCAAGAGUAGUCAGAUUCCUAGACACAGAAAGUGGACCGGUGGUUUCCAGGGGCUGGGAGAGGGGAGAAUGGGGAGUUUGCGUUUAUUGGGUACCGAGUUUCAGUGUGGACAGAUGAAAAGGUUUUUGAAGAUGGGUGAUAAUGGUUGCACAAGAAUGGGGAUGUACUCAAUGCCAUGGAACUGUACACUUAAAAAUGGUUAAAACAGUAAAUUUUAUGUUGUGUAUAUUUUACCACAAUGAAAAAAUAAUGUCAGCAACAUUCACUGACCCCAAGACAGACUUGCAG
ensembl:lncRNA